UGUUGGUGUCACAACUUUGGCCGCAACUGAGUUUGAACACCACCGGAAGGAACUUCCUGUGGAGGCAACGGAAGACUAAGACAUGGCUGCUUCAGCCCCCGGGGCCUAUGUAAGGUUUGGCUGUAUGGUUUCGCUUAGGGUCCAGCUGGCAGAUGUCUGUGGUUUUCCCUACAUCUCUCAGCAGCCUGCAAACAGCAGAAGCCAGUACGUCAGAGGCUGACAGACAUGAAUGUUGGGUAAAUUCAAGUUUGGAACCGGGCGGAGGGAAGUGGGCGGAAGUCAGGGUAUUGAUGGCAUCUGGGGAUGCUUGUCUGAGCUAUCAGUUGUUCAACAGAAAGUCAUUAAACAUGUACUGUGAGCUGUGUACCAGGCACUGGCUCACUGGCACCUGGGAGUGUAUCAGGAGCAAAUAUAACACAAAGUGCUACCCCUGGGGAUGGCUGGCAAGGGGAAACAGACUUCAUAACAAGCUCCAUAGGCUUGUGUGUAGGAAAAGCCCCAAACUGCACGUAUUUAUUUUAAACCCUUUCCCUCCCUUAACUAUUUCUGAGUUAUUUGGAUUAUUUCUGAUAAUGUGUAUAAAAACAUGUAUAAAAUAUGUAUAAAAGGUGUUGGCAGUCCUUUUCCUGCUUUGAUCUCUGAGCAAGCGCUGAGUGGGCACAGCAAAAAGUAAGAGAGAAAUGCCCAAUGAACUAGUUACAAAAUAGUGAUUGCUUGGCACAUGUGCCAAAAGCUGCCUUCUUUCGAGGGCUGAGGGUGUGUCUGAGUGGCGGGGCGCUUACCUAGUGCACACAAAGCCCCUGGAUAUGUUCUUGUAACUGGUACCCAGCAAAUUAAUAGCAUAAGCAAAUGUAGAAUUGUGCCGAAUAUGGUGAUUGCAACUUUAUCGGAUGAUAACACCCAUCCACAUGAAAUGCAUUGAGUGGGGGAGGGGUGGAGUCAGAGAGGGUAAACAUCAGAAAACUCACUACUGCUGACUGCCUCUUUUCUUUAUUUGUAUCUAACUUGUUUACCUUUGAAAUGGCUGGUGACUGCUGGGCUCCCUGGUCCACCACAGUGAUUCUAGCUCAGGCACCCUGGUGCAUGCUAGUGAUUCUAGGGUGGGCACCCUGGUGCGUGCCAGCGAUUCCAGCUCGGGAGGCUGAGACAGAAAGAUUUCAAGUUCUAGGCUAGUUGGUCUAAGAAGACAACAAACAAAAUUUUAAAAAGCAAAUAAAAGUCAAAGGACUAUUUACUCAGUUCACCCCCCCCAGUGCUGGCUUAAGUACAGUCCUGAUAGAAAGGGCGGGAAUACAGUGGGCAAAAAAGGCAAAAGGUUAUGGACUACCUGGGAUAAAGUAGGAAGGCUUGAAAAUACACCCCCACGGAGUAAAUACCAAAAAAAGAGAAGGAAAGUUUUUUAAACAAAUAUAUUUUGCUUAUUAGCUCAGCAGUUUCAAAAAAGUUUGGCAAGGUAGGACUAAAAAUUUAGCAAACAAAAGAACAACUCCGAGAUAGGGGCUGGAGAGAUGGCUCAGCAACUGAGAGCACUGGCUGCUCGUUCAAAGGACUAAGUUCGUGUUCAGCAUUCACAUCCCUCCUACGUCAAGUACAGAACCCGAGUCGGAAUGUUGCUGAUAGGGAGACGCUGACUGCUCCCUUUCAAGGAUAUUUCAUUUGCUUGCCAAAGAAUCUUUUUUUAAAAAGGUAGGCUGGUGAACAGGGUCCUGGCAUGUGUCUGUGAGCCCCAAAAUGGGCCAGGGAAGCAUUAAACCGAAUUAGAUUGUCCCUAGAUGACAUGUAAGAACACUAGCAUAAAAAGUAUAAAAAGCUUUUACGUCUGUCUCAAUGAUUUCAUCUCUGCCAGUUCAGAUGAGCGUCCUCUGCCUUGGUGCUGAUAAACCCCGACAUGUGAAGUGAAGCAAGCCAUUUCCGUGGCGUUCAGGAAUGGAAACGGAGGUGUCAGAGGUGCAUGGAAAGCAGAAAUGGAGAAAUGCUGUCCACCCUAAGAGCUGCUGUUUAAAAAUAUAUCUGUUAUAUUUAUCCGUGAUAUCUGCCAAGAGGGCUGUGCACUAAUACAGUGGGCCUUGUGAAGUAUUGGUCCUGUCGAGCCGUUUGCUCUGAUGCUGCAAAUGGCUCCAAGUGCAGAGGCUGUGUCUAAGACUAGCUUUCUAAACUGCACUUUCAAGGUAAUCACAAAAGUCCCUGUUGGAAGGAACCUUAAAGGCCUUCGGUCCCAAACCCGCUGGUCAGUGGAGGUGAUACCAUGACCCAGAGUGAGGAGGUAACCUGCUAAAGUCAAACUGGCGAUUUAUGUCAGGGCCCAGAAGAGAUCCGAGACCUCUGAACUGCGGCUAGAGGCCUUUCUCCUGCCCUGCAAGGACCCGCUUAGUGAACUGCCCUGCUGUCUGAAAGCUCGCCUGCAUGGGUCACCCUCUCAUGGUGCUGGGGACAGGUCCAUCCUGAGAAGUACAGCUCUCAUCCUACGGGGAGGAGCCUGGACUUACAGGGUCACACAAACAGGCACGUUCUGAGUUUUUGCGCCUUUCUCUUUCCUUAAAAGAAUAAGAAAUUUCCUUGUCUUUUUUUUUUUUUUAAAUAACGAGCCUGUUAUUUCUUUUGUGUUUUCUAAGAAACUAAAUCAUUUUAAGAAGGACUUCAGGGGCCGGGUUAUGAACAGGCCUCAUCCUCAUACAAGCAAGGCAAGCACUCUGCCUGCUGAACUACAUACAGCUCUACUGAUAAUUCUCUAUAUUUUAACGCGCCAAGACGUGAUAAUUUGUUUUUUAUUGCUUAGAAGGGACCUUGGCUGGCCUGGAGGCUUGCUACCUAGAUCAGACUGAGCUCAGACUGGCAGGAUGAUUCGCCUGCCUCUGCCAUGUGCUGCAACUAGAGGCUUGUGCCGCUAUGCCUGACUGAGACGUGAUUCUUUUUCCUCCAGUGCUGGUUUAGAUUUAAACACGUGCUGCUUUCUUUGCUCUCUUCUGACCUCCGCUGGCACUAGAUAAGCACGUGGGACAUAUAAAUACAGACAGGCAAAACAUCAAUACACAUAAAGAAAAACUAAAUAGAGAAUAUGAGGGACUAUACUGUUAGAUGGACUCUGCCUUCGCCAAGUCCAGAGACGGAAGUUUAGUCAGCCUCGGAGACGGGGCCGUGACCCUGGGGCUCCUGGGAAGCCAGUGAAGCAGCAAGGAAGUGUUGUCCGAGUUGUCCUGGAGAGUCCCCGGCCUGGAGGCCUGGGGAGCAAUUCUAGUUCCCUAAGGCUCCCUUCGGAAGGCAUUUGCUGGGUGCUCUAAGGCUCUGAUGCUUUGCUCUCUUCUCUGGGAUUCUGGGUGCCGUUAGCAGAAGCAGCUUCUUCCUUUAAAGGACGGAGCGGUUGAUUUAUACUUUUAACGGCUGGACAAGUUCGCGGCUGUAGAAGAGUUUUUAUCGUCCGUGGCUGUGAAACCCAGAAGAGGGCUUGUUGGUCCCGUGGUAGCUCCAUAAAGCCAAGGAUGAUGCCAGAGUGGCAGGAGAGGACAAAGGUCAUCCAGUGGCCAAGCAAUGCAGGUUCCUGAUCUGUUUGAGUUCCUCCUGUUCUGCCUUUCUCCCAUGAUGAACUGUGAUGUGGAAGAGUAAGCCAAAUAAACCUUCCUCUAUAAUUGCUGACCCAAGAGCAAUGCAUAGAUAUUUGCAGGUGUAUUAUAAUAAUCAUUUCCUGAAGAUAGCAAAAACAGAGAUGGGAAGCAGUCUUAUAAAAUGAGUAUACACCAUAAAGUUGAACACAAUGUAUGGAUAUUGCUUGACAAACGAUGAUGUUUGCAGUACUGUUUGCUGUCUGGGUCAGUUGGGGUCAGGGACUUAAUCCCUUGUAAACUCUGCUAAAGAGUUCUGUAAAGCAGCCCAUCCACUCCCCAUGGAUGCUUUCUAUGGUGUUCAAUAAAAGAGAGAGUAAAGCCCUUUGUUAGGGGACAGGCGUGGGCGGACACAUUCACACAGACACUCUCAGACACAGGAACAGAUUCCCAAGCCAGCCUUCAGGCAGGCACGGAUUCAGACUCGUCCCACAGACAGACAUACAGGACAGAAGAACAAAGUAGAGUGAUCAAAGGAGCAAAGAGGAUGCUGUCGACCUGGAGGAGGUUGACAACGGAUAUGUCAGGAGAGCUGAGGAAGAAGGGUCAGUGUAACCUGGACAUGUUAAGAAGUAACUGCAUCCACCUUUGACGUGAUUGAUAAAAAGCCGUUCUGUUUUGAAAACAGCUGGUAGGUGAGGUAAGGCUGAUGGGACCAUCUAGGCUUAGUGCGGCCUCAGACAAAGCUCUUUUCACUGCCCGUGUCUCAUGGCUUGCGAUUUCCAUCAUGGGCUAUCCUAUGAGAAAAUUAUUUCCCCCCAGAUAGUUAAGAUAGACCUGUGACUGAAGGAGCUCAUAGUAUCUCAGAUUCCCCAGACAGCUAGCCCCAGGUUGUGUCUCUUCCACGUGACCUUACCCCACAGCCCUAACCACUCAAGUCCUUGAGUUCCUCCUCCAAUUCCCUCCCAUCUGUUCUUUUUCCCAACUCCCAUAUCAUUGUUUACAUUUGGGCAGUGUGGUCCCCAGGACCAUUUCCUUGACUCCGGUCUCCCCACACCGUGAUCUCCACCACCUGCUGUAUCGACUGAACACUGCUAAUUCUGUAUCCAAAAAUCAUUACUAGUUUGCUUGCUCCUUUGAAAUCUUGUCUUCGGGGCUCCUUGUGAACUAAUUCCAGCUGCCCGUUUAAGUUUUGUGUGGUGGGGAUUUAACCAGGAUGCAGACUAAACAGCUGUGAGGAAAUGACCUCAAUUCUGGUAACAUAAAAAGGAUGGAUGGUCAGCGUUCUCCCUGGGCCUCCAUAGUGUUGGGAUUGGGAUGUUGGGUGUGCAUCACUGUGCUUUGCUUCUUUCUCACUUCUUGAUCUGAGGCCUCCAUUGUUUCCUACCCCUCAAACAUCAGAGAAACUUUUUUUUUUUCCUGAGAUGCUUAGAUCUGAGGAAUUAGGCCACGGUCCUACCCACAUCCUUUUCUGUCCGCCCCCCAGCCUCUGGAUUCCGGCUGAACGGCAUGGUCAACUCUCCUGGGUCUCAAAAUUGCAGAUGGAAGAUCGUGGGACUUCUUGGCAUCCACAGUCACAUGAGCCAUUUCCAAUAAAAGCAGCAGUGUGUGUGUGUGCAUGCACACGCAUGUAUGAGUGCCCUUGCACACAGUUGGUGCAAUUGGCUCUAUGUCUCUCAGAUCCAUGACCAUUAUCUACACAAACAAGUUGGUAUUCUAAGAAGUUAAUUGAUUUGUUAAUAAACUGAGA